AAGUGGGAAGAGCGCAAACCGAGAAGCUUGCUCGUCGGGGUUGUAGGACUGGACAUUGGAGUUACCAAAGUCCGACGUAGUCGAAGUCAGCUGGAAAGCUGCGCCACAGGAGGUGAAAGCCCUGUAAGCGAAACGUCGAACCCUACGUCCAGGAUCCUGAGUCCGGCGGAACACGUGAAAUUCCGUCGGAAUCCGGGAGGACCAUCUCCCAAGGCUAAAUACUCCCUAGUGACCGAGAGUGAACCAGUACCGUGAGGGAAAGGUGAAAAGCACCCCGGAAGGGGAGUGAAACCGUUCCUGCAACCGUGUGCCUACAAUUAGUAAAAGCCCGUUAAUGGGUAAUGGCGUGCCUUUUUUAGAAUGAAACAGCGAGUUACGUUUGCAUGCGAGGUUAAA
rnacentral:rRNA from 2 species